CCUACGGGCGGCUGCAGUGGGGAAUAUUGCACAAUGGCGCAAGCCUGAUGCAGCCAUGCCGCGUGUGUGAAGAAGGCCUUCGGGUUGUAAAGCACUUUCAGCGGGGAGGAAGGCGGUGAGGUUAAUAACCUCAUCGAUUGACGUUACCCGCAGAAGAAGCACCGGCUAACUCCGUGCCAGCAGCCGCGGUAAUACGGAGGGUGCAAGCGUUAAUCGGAAUUACUGGGCGUAAAGCGCACGCAGGCGGUCUGUCAAGUCGGAUGUGAAAUCCCCGGGCUCAACCUGGGAACUGCAUUCGAAACUGGCAGGCUAGAGUCUUGUAGAGGGGGGUAGAAGUCCAGGUGUAGCGGUGAAAUGCGUAGAGAUCUGGAGGAAUACCGGUGGCGAAGGCGGCCCCCUGGACAAAGACUGACGCUCAGGUGCGAAAGCGUGGGGAGCAAACAGGAUUAGAUACCCUUGUAGUC
rnacentral:rRNA from 1 species